UCAAGUCAUCAUGGCCCUUAUGCCCAGGGCGACACACGUGCUACAAUGGCAUAUACAAUGAGACGCAAUACCGCGAGGUGGAGCAAAUCUAUAAAAUAUGUCCCAGUUCGGAUUGUUCUCUGCAACUCGAGAGCAUGAAGCCGGAAUCGCUAGUAAUCGUAGAUCAGCCAUGCUACGGUGAAUACGUUCCCGGGUCUUGUACUCACCGCCCGUCACACCAUGGGAGUUGAUUUCACUCGAAGCCGGAAUACUAAACUAGUUACCGUCCACAGUGGAAUCAGCGACUGGGGUGAAGUCGUAACAAGGUAACCGUAGGAGAACCUGCGGUUGGAUCACCUCCUUUCUAG
rnacentral:rRNA from 2 species